rnacentral:rRNA from 1 species
GUAGUCUGCAACUCGACUACAUGAAGCUGGAAUCGCUAGUAAUCGCGAAUCAGCAUGUCGCGGUGAAUACGUUCCCGGGUCUUGUACACACCGCCCGUCACACCAUGGGAGUCGGUAACGCCCGAAGUCAGUGACCCAACCGGAAGGAGGGAGCUGCCGAAGGCGGGACUGGUAACUGGGGUGAAGUCGUAACAAGGUAGC